rnacentral:rRNA from 1 species
ACGGGUGAGUAACACGUGGGCAAUCUGCCCUUCACUCUGGGACAAGCCCUGGAAACGGGGUCUAAUACCGGAUAACACUGCGGAUCGCAUGGUCUGCGGUUAAAAGCUCCGGCGGUGAAGGAUGAGCCCGCGGCCUAUCAGCUUGUUGGUGAGGUAAUGGCUCACCAAGGCGACGACGGGUAGCCGGCCUGAGAGGGCGACCGGCCACACUGGGACUGAGACACGGCCCAGACUCCUACGGGAGGCAGCAGUGGGGAAUAUUGCACAAUGGGCGAAAGCCUGAUGCAGCGACGCCGCGUGAGGGAUGACGGCCUUCGGGUUGUAAACCUCUUUCAGCAGGGAAGAAGCGAAAGUGACGGUACCUGCAGAAGAAGCGCCGGCUAACUACGUGCCAGCAGCCGCGGUAAUACGUAGGGCGCAAGCGUUGUCCGGAAUUAUUGGGCGUAAAGAGCUCGUAGGCGGCUUGUCACGUCGAUUGUGAAAGCCCGAGGCUUAACCUCGGGUCUGCAGUCGAUACGGGCUAGCUAGAGUUCGGUAGGGGAGAUCGGAAUUCCUGGUGUAGCGGUGAAAUGCGCAGAUAUCAGGAGGAACACCGGUGGCGAAGGCGGAUCUCUGGGCCGAUACUGACGCUGAGGAGCGAAAGCGUGGGGAGCGAACAGGAUUAGAUACCCUGGUAGUCCACGCCGUAAACGGUGGGCACUAGGUGUGGGCAACAUUCCACGUUGUCCGUGCCGCAGCUAACGCAUUAAGUGCCCCGCCUGGGGAGUACGGCCGCAAGGCUAAAACUCAAAGGAAUUGACGGGGGCCCGCACAAGCGGCGGAGCAUGUGGCUUAAUUCGACGCAACGCGAAGAACCUUACCAAGGCUUGACAUACACCGGAAAGCACCAGAGAUGGUGCCCCCCUUGUGGUCGGUGUACAGGUGGUGCAUGGCUGU